rnacentral:rRNA from 1 species
CAGGACGAACGCUGGCGGCGUGCCUAAUACAUGCAAGUCGAACGGCUUUUCUAUGGAAGCUUGCUUCCACUGAGAAGAUAGUGGCGAACGGGUGAGUAACACGUGGGUAACCUGCCCAUAAGAGGGGGGAUAACAUCCGGAAACGGGUGCUAAUACCGCAUAGUUUUCUUGAUCGCAUGAUCGGGAAAGGAAAGACGGCCUUUGUGCUGUCGCUUAUGGAUGGACCCGCGGCGUAUUAGUUAGUUGGUGAGGUAACGGCUCACCAAGACGAUGAUACGUAGCCGACCUGAGAGGGUGAUCGGCCACAUUGGGACUGAGACACGGCCCAAACUCCUACGGGAGGCAGCAGUAGGGAAUCUUCCGCAAUGGACGAAAGUCUGACGGAGCAACGCCGCGUGAGUGAAGAAAGGUUUUCGGAUCGUAAAACUCUGUUGUCAGAGAAGAACAAGUUGGAGAGUAACUGCUCCAGCCUUGACGGUAUCUGACCAGAAAGCCACGGCUAACUACGUGCCAGCCGCAGC